UACGUAGGGGGCAAGCGUUGUCCGGAUUUAUUGGGCGUAAAGAGCUCGUAGGCGGUUUGGUAAGUCAGGUGUGAAAUCUCCACGCUCAACGUGGAGGGGCCACCUGAUACUGCCAUGACUGGAGUCCGGUAGAGGAGUGUGGAAUUCCCGGUGUAGCGGUGAAAUGCGCAGAUAUCGGGAGGAACACCCGUAGCGAAGGCGGCACUCUAGUACGGUACUGACGCUGAGACGCGAAAGCGUGGGGAGCGAACAGG
rnacentral:rRNA from 1 species